UUAUAUUAACAUUCAACCACAUGCAGAGGUUAUUCAACCUCAUAGUUAGAAAAUUUGUUGUGGCAAAUGUGGGGCCUACUGGGUGUAUACCAAGCCAGAAGGACAUCAAUAAUGCAGUUCUUAUUACCAAUUCCUGCAAUUCUCUUAGUGUUACCAACCUGAACAUGAUUAAUAGUCCAAAAUCUCACAUACACGUAAAUGGUUUUGAAGGUGCGACAUUUUCUCAUAUUAAUAUUAGUGCUCCUGGCGAUAGGCCUAACAUGGAUUUGAUCCAAAAAUGUCAUGAUCAAAGAUUCUACUAUAGCAACUAGAAAAACAAAGUUUUCAUCUAAUGAAAAUAUAUACAAUAUCAAAUUUCAAAUUAGUGUUUUUUUAUUAUUAUAUGUGCAAUUCGUAGGAAGCUUUCUCUUCCUGAACCUGUUUGUAAGAUCAUAAAUCCUUUUAUUGGUUGUUAUGAGAUCUAAAGAACUUAUAAUACUAAUCUCAGGAGGCAGAACAUAUCCUUUUUUGGCAGUUUGAUUUUUUUUUUAUUCAAUUUUUUUCUUGAAUGAAUUUCAAAUGAUAUUCAAUAUUGAAAUUUUUUCUUGCUUGUUCAUAUUGUCUUUUUUAUUUAUUUAUUGUCUAGUUAGAGAAACUAGACCUGCACAAUGUUGGCUACCUCGUACAGAAACUCCUUGCUCGUGGUUUAAGGUUCAAUUAUGAUAAAAUUUAACUAAUUAAGAGAUAUAGUAUUUUUCUUUUUUCUUUUUUUUGCUGCAUUUCCUGCAGUAUACUAUGAUUGAAAUUCCUGUGAGAUUAAGAUUGAAGAAAUAAUAUUUAUUGUUUUAGGUUGAUUGAUUAUUAUGGUUGGUAUAUAAAUGUUUUAGAGCUUUCAAGGAAGGAGUUUGCUACCAAGAUCAUGUUUUGCAUGUAACUUUCGUUUGCAUGUAGAUUCAUAUGGUAUGAAAAUCUUAGAAUGAAUUAUUUCCCUUCUUAUUGAGACAAAUUUUCAUAUAUUCUAUUAGUAGAUUUUAUUUUGUUCUAACUUAAUAAAAAAUCAACAGUGGAUGCACCCUUAUUUUCUCAUGUUAUAGGAGUAAGAUCUUUUUCUUUUUAAUAAUUGUUAUAUAUUUUGAAUGAUAAAAACUAGACUUGUUUAGUUGUGAGUACAACUCUCAAAUUUGAGAGGAGACUAAUAUUGGAAUUCAUUUGGCAUGCAAGGAAUGGUGAAAUAAUUCAUGUACUGAACAUAGCAGUCGAACAGAAAUAUUGUAAUUAAUACAAACAUAUAUAAUACAAAAAACUAAUGUUUAAUUAGUUGGCUAUAUAUGCAAACUAUUCAACUCUAAUAUUUAUUGUUUUAUCUUGUGUUUCUUUUCCCUAAUGCGUUCUUUAACUUCAUCUUAUACAUAGGAAAUAUAUUCUAUAAAACUUUAUGGAGAUCCUAAGCUUGGGAAGGAAAGCCUGAAAACCAAAACCAUGCCAUAGUUUUCACUCGUGGUGAAGCUGUUCAAAUUAUUGACAUGAAUCAGGUGAAGAUAUGUCUCAUAUGGUCAUUUUUUUUUUCUUUUUCUCUUUGCCAUCUGUAAUACCUAUUUUGGUUAUUACAAGGUGUUAUACAUUGUGCUACAAUGGACAAAUUAAAAAGACUUAAGGAAAAGGAAGGUCCUUUCAGUUCUA